ACGGGUGAGUAAUGUCUGGGAAACUGCCUGAUGGAGGGGGAUAACUACUGGAAACGGUAGCUAAUACCGCAUAACGUCGCAAGACCAAAGAGGGGGACCUUCGGGCCUCUUGCCAUCAGAUGUGCCCAGAUGGGAUUAGCUAGUAGGUGGGGUAAUGGCUCACCUAGGCGACGAUCCCUAGCUGGUCUGAGAGGAUGACCAGCCACACUGGAACUGAGACACGGUCCAGACUCCUACGGGAGGCAGCAGUGGGGAAUAUUGCACAAUGGGCGCAAGCCUGAUGCAGCCAUGCCGCGUGUGUGAAGAAGGCCUUCGGGUUGUAAAGCACUUUCAGCGAGGAGGAAGGUGGUGAGCUUAAUACGCUCAUCAAUUGACGUUACUCGCAGAAGAAGCACCGGCUAACUCCGUGCCAGCAGCCGCGGUAAUACGGAGGGUGCAAGCGUUAAUCGGAAUUACUGGGCGUAAAGCGCACGCAGGCGGUUUGUUAAGUCAGAUGUGAAAUCCCCGGGCUCAACCUGGGAACUGCAUUUGAAACUGGCAAGCUAGAGUCUCGUAGAGGGGGGUAGAAUUCCAGGUGUAGC
rnacentral:rRNA from 2 species